rnacentral:tRNA from 1 species
GCCAGUGUGGUGUAGUGGUUAAGAGCGGUGGACUUGUAAUCUGUUGAACCGGGUUUGAUUCCCUGCUCUUCCACAUGCAGGUG